rnacentral:tRNA from 1 species
GUUUCUGUUGGGUAGUGGUUAUCACAUCCGCCUAACACGCGGGAGGUCCCAGGUUCGAGCCCUGGCAGAAACU